CCGGCCGGCCCCUCCCCGCCCGCCUGACUGCUGCCAACCAUGUCCGCACUCCGUCCGGCGUCUCGCACCGGCGGUCAGCAGACUCUGACCCCAUCGCCGCCGACCUCCUCUCCGCCUCCUCUCUCUCACCACGCUCUCCCUUGCCGCCUCGCUCCACUCCCUCCUCGCCGCGCGCGCCCUCCCACGCUCUUAUCCCCCGCCUCCCGACCCCCUCCGUGCGCCUCCUCUCCAGGCUUCUUUCGCGCCCCUGCUCUUCCCCCGCCCAGGCAGCCGGAUUCCUCCGCGCCGGUCACCUCUCCGUUCAACCCCCUCUUGGCCGCGCUCGCCCGCGUCCUCGACCUCCCUGGCACAACCCAGCUCUUUGCCGCCGUCGUCUGGUAUGGCAUACUCCCCAACGGGCUCUGCAAAGCCGGCGCGCUCAGGGCGCUCGAUGGAAUGCCCGGCCCAGACUCGCGCCUUCGUCCGGAUGUUGUCAUUCAUGCUGAACACGGUCGUGGAUGUGUGCAAGAGCGGGAGGAUUGGUGAUGCUCUUGACUUUUUCAAGGAGAAAAGAUCAGCUUGCCCUGAAGCCAGCGGCAAUGCCGUCACCUACAGCACUCUGCUUCCUCCACAAUAACAAUGUGUGGGCGUAUCCACCAUGGAUUAGGUUUGUUCCAUGAGAUGGUGGAUGAAGGGCUCUCACCAGAUGAAGUCAUGUAUUUUACCACGAUAUUGGGAUUGACACAAGCACGACGAUUGAAGGAGGCUUGGUGUCGUCGAUGGUGAAGGCAGGGUUUCAGCUGGAUGCAAAGGCGUACACUAUUCUGAUUGGCGGAUUUAGCAGGAGGAAGAGGUUACAGAGGCUUAUCAGUGGCUUGGUGUACACCUACAAUACCUUGUUGUCUGCUUUGUGCAAAGUAGGACAUUUCUCGGCUGUGGAUGAGUUAUUGGGGAAGAUGAUAGUUGUCGGCCGUCUGAGGACUGUACGAGGAUUGGUUAAGAUGACUCUUAUUUAAAUGCAGCGUCAACUGCACAUGAUGAAGAGCAAAUGCAGGUAGCAACAGUCGAUGGAUAUAAUUUUCUGUGGCAUCAAAAGUGAAUUAAUUCAGCGGCUGCCAGGUAGUAAACCAUUCAUACUGCAGCAAAGGUCCAAGUGUUGCCGGUGUUGCCCUUUUUUGUCAAUUGAUUACAGCCAUAUGCGCUGACUUGCUCCUGCAAGUUGUUUCUGCUAAUGCUGGAAGUGAGGUCCAUCACACCAAACCGUCGGAAAGAUUCUAUAAAGUUCAAAUUUACCAUGCAUGUUGAGUGAACAGGUGCAGAAUUGGACAAACAUAAAUAUAGCUAGUGAAUGGUACAUGUCUUAAAAGGAAAGGAGACCUCAUCCUCAUCCUGGUCGGCGAGGAUCUUGGAGCAGUUGAAGCAGACGCAGCGCAUGAUGGAGAGCACGGUCUUGAUGAAGCCGAUGUGGAACAUGGGCUUUGCGAGCUCGAG